UGAAAGGUCUCAAAAGCCGGGUGAGGGGCCAGCGUCAUGGAGCACUUAGCAACUGCGUGUUAGAAAUGCAAAGUAAAAUAAAAGGACAAGGGAAGGAAUUGGGGAUCUCUUUUCAAGGAGGCACAGAAUGAAGUGGAACAUAACGCUCCCUCCUGAAAUGUGAACUGCACAUGGUGACUUCCUUUCAAAGAACACAGCGAAAAGACAGGGGCGGAAAGUAAUUUUACAGUGGAGAAACCUGACAAAACUACCUCAGCCAGAAACCCAUAACCCUAAUCCAUGAGAAAAACACCAGACAAAUAUCACUUGAGGGACAUUCUACAAAGUACUGAUAAAGUCAACAAAAUACAGCCCUCCUCCAAACUGUGAAGGUCACCAAAGACAAGGGAAGUCAGAAAUUGUCACAGCCAAGAGGAGCCUAAGGAGACGUGAUAACUAAAUGUAUUUAAUACGGUAUCUGGAUGGGAUCCCGGAACAGAAAAAAAGACAUCAGGAGAGAAGAAAGAGAGCAAGGCUGAAAAAUCACUUGAAGAAAUAAUGGCUGAAAACUUUCCAAAUGUGGCAAAAUUCAUAAACCUACAGUUUCAAGAUUACGCGGGCCUCUCACUGUUGUGGCCUCUCCCGUUGCAGAGCACAGG